rnacentral:rRNA from 1 species
UACAGAGAGUGCAAGCGUUAAUCGGAAUAACUGGGCGUAAAGGGCGCGUAGGUGGGCAGUUAAGAGAGAUGUGAAAGUCCUGGGCUUAACCUGGGGAGGUCAUCUGAGACUGGCUGUCUUGAGUGAGGUAGAGGUUAGCGGAAUUUCCGGUGUAGCGGUGAAAUGCGUAGAUAUCGGAAGGAACACCGGAGGCGAAGGCGGCUAACUGGGCCUUAACUGACACUGAGGCGCGAAAGCGUGGGUAGCGAACAGG